GACGAACGCUGGCGGCGUGCUUAACACAUGCAAGUCGAACGAUGAAGCUGGAGCUUGCUCUGGCGGAUUAGUGGCGAACGGGUGAGUAACACGUGAGAAAUCUGCCCUUGACUCUGGGAUAACUGCGGGAAACUGUAGCUAAUACCGGAUACUUUCCCUGGUGGGCAUCCACUGGGGAAGAAAGAAUUUCGGUCAAGGAUGAUCUCGCGGCCUAUCAGCUCGUUGGGGAGGUAAUGGCUCACCAAGGCGACGACGGGUAGCCGGCCUGAGAGGGUGACCGGCCACACUGGGACUGAGACACGGCCCAGACUCCUACGGGAGGCAGCAGUGGGGAAUAUUGCACAAUGGGCGCAAGCCUGAUGCAGCAACGCCGCGUGAGGGAUGAAGGCCUUCGGGUUGUAAACCUCUUUUAGCAGGGAAGAAGCGAAAGUGACGGUACCUGCAGAAAAAGCACCGGCUAACUACGUGCCAGCAGCCGCCGCUG
rnacentral:rRNA from 1 species